CCUAAUUACGCCUGUAAGUCGCUCUGGAUAAGAGUGUCUGCGAAAUGACGUAAA
rfam:Salmo salar isolate Sally breed double haploid chromosome ssa29, whole genome shotgun sequence.